AGGGCACCUGUAGUGGGGGGGGAAAUGAAGCUAUAAAUAUAAUAACAUUCUGGGUCGGAUCAUGUAAUCAGACUUGUGUCUUUGCACACAUGCAUACAGCAACAGUCCCGUGCAUUCACAGAGAUUUGCAUAUACUGUACAUUGUGUUCACACAUACUAUGACUGCAGUUUCAUUCAUAAACGGACGUUCAGUCCACGUUGGUCUGGUGAGCCACGUAUUGAUCCCACAUUCUGUUUCCAAUCCAAGCAAAGCAAAUGUUCACAUGGUGUCCAUGCAGAUUAUUGCAGACAUAGAUUAUAAUAUACAUUAUAUAAUGUAUAUUACUGUAAAUAAUAUACAUCAUGAGAAUAGUAUUCACAUAUUGAUGGUUUUUGUUUUGUUUCAUUUGUUUGUUGAAGAAUCCCAAACCAAGAAAGUGUUCUCUCCUCUUUCCACAGCGUCACCUUGAUCUUCACUUGAGCAUGAAACCCUUUCUGCCCCACAUUUGAAAGCAAACGAUGGAGAGCACGGUGAGAAGUAGCCACUCUGCGGCAAUGAUGCCCUGCACAGCACUCAAUCCCAGUGCCAGGCCAGUGAGGGUGCAGCCUCCGGGGCUUCGAUGCUCCUGACCAAGCCUUCGCAGACGAAUACCUUGCACCAACAAACAUGAAAAACAGACAGCAAAGAAGAGGCCCCACAGGGCUCUACGGACCAGACAUAAUAUCUGAUCUUGUGUGAUCAGGUAAGCAAAGCUCAGGCCAAAUAAGCCAAGCACGCCGAGGAGCAGCAGGAGGAUUGGUCCCACGCCGCUGCGCUUCUCAGCCUCACUGAUGUGGCUUAAACGGCCCAGCAGGACUAGGACUAUUAUGAUGCUAACUAAUGUCCCAGCAGCAGCCAGAGCUUCAACAGCUAUACCCCACAUUGCGUCCAUGUCACAGAGGAGGAUGUAGGGUUCCUUAAAGCCGAUGCCACAGCCCCUUGGAGUGACCUCAUUAGUGGCAUCUUGACUCCUGGCAUGAUGAGCAACAGUCAGCAGCAGCAGGACAAUCGGGAGGAACGCCAUUUCUAAGAGAUGAACAGUACAGAUGACAAAGAGGGAGAUGAUGAGCGCAAAAAUGGAAACAUCAAAUAAAUUGAUAAGGGUAAUAUAAAAAAGA